rnacentral:rRNA from 1 species
AGUGAACGCUGGCGGUAGGCCUAACACAUGCAAGUCGAACGGCAGCACAGUAAGAGCUUGCUCUUACGGGUGGCGAGUGGCGGACGGGUGAGGAAUAUAUCGGAAUCUAUUUUUUCGUGGGGGAUAACGUAGGGAAACUUACGCUAAUACCGCAUACGACCUACGGGUGAAAGCAGGGGAUCUUCGGACCUUGCGCGAUUGAAUGAGCCGAUGUCGGAUUAGCUAGUUGGCGGGGUAAAGGCCCACCAAGGCGACGAUCCGUAGCUGGUCUGAGAGGAUGAUCAGCCACACUGGAACUGAGACACGGUCCAGACUCCUACGGGAGGCAGCAGUGGGGAAUAUUGGACAAUGGGCGCAAGCCUGAUCCAGCCAUACCGCGUGUGUGAAGAAGGCCUUCGGGUUGUAAAGCCCUUUUGUUGGGAAAGAAAAGCAGCAGGUUAAUACCCCGCUGUUCUGACGGUACCCAAAGAAUAAGCACCGGCUAACUUCGUG